rnacentral:sRNA from 1 species
AAAGGAUUAAACAUGAUUUACAAUCGUUUUAAAAGCAUAAGCAAGGGUCAUAGAAUAAUUUACAAGGGAUUUUAAAAAGGGUAUGCAUGGUUUACAAUCGUUUUUUAGGCAUAAGUAAGUGGCAUAAAAUAAUUUACAAGGGAUUUUAAAAGCUUAUUAAAGGGUAAAACAUGAUUUACAAUCGUUUUUAAAUCAUAAGUAAGUGUCAUAAAAUGAUUUACAAGGGAUUUUAAAUGUGUUUUCAUGGUUUACAAUGGUUUUUAAAACAUAAAUUAGUGGCAUUGAAUGAUUUACAAGAGAUUUUAAAAGCUUUUU